rnacentral:sRNA from 1 species
CGGGCGGCGGCACGUGGAUGCCAGCCUGGCGCGCGUCUCCAGGCCGGUGGAUGGCGCGGCCAAUCCAGGUGAAGCCUGCGGACAGUGAAAGCCGCGGAGGUAGGGACCGGAAGCUGUUCGUGGGGAUGCUGAACAAGCAGCAGUCGGAGGAGGACGUGCUGCGGCUGUUCCAGCCCUUCGGGGUCAUUGACGAGUGCACCGUGCUCCGGGGGCCUGACGGCAGCAGCAAAGGCUGUGCUUUCGUGAAGUUCUCCUCCCACACGGAGGCGCAGGCGGCCAUCCACGCCUUGCAUGGGAGCCAGACCAUGCCGGGAGCCUCCUCCAGCCUGGUGGUCAAGUUCGCCGACACGGACAAGGAGCGGACGCUCCGGCGCAUGCAGCAGAUGGUGGGCCAGCUGGGCAUCCUGACGCCGUCCCUCACACUGCCCUUCAGCCCCUACAGUGCCUACGCCCAGGCUCUCAUGCAACAGCAGACAACAGUCCUGUCCACCUCGGGCAGCUACCUGAGUCCCGGCGUGGCCUUCUCACCCUGUCACAUCCAGCAGAUAGGCGCCGUCAGCCUCAACGGGCUGCCUGCCACACCCAUCGCUCCUGCCUCUGGGCUGCACUCACCCCCGCUGCUGGGCACCACCGCCGUGCCUGGCCUCGUGGCUCCCAUCACCAAUGGCUUUGCAGGUGUCGUGCCCUUUCCAGGUGGGCACC